rnacentral:rRNA from 1 species
CAGUAGCCGCGGUAAUACGAAGGGGGCUAGCGUUGCUCGGAAUGACUGGGCGUAAAGGGCGCGUAGGCGGAUGGCACAGUCAGAUGUGAAAUUCCCGGGCUUAACCUGGGGGCUGCAUUUGAUACGUGUUGUCUAGAGUGAGGAAGAGGGUUGUGGAAUUCCCAGUGUAGAGGUGAAAUUCGUAGAUAUUGGGAAGAACACCGGUGGCGAAGGCGGCAACCUGGUCCUUGACUGACGCUGAGGCGCGAAAGCGUGGGGAGCAAACAGGAUUAGAUACCCCUGUAGUCCCUGUCUCUUAUAC